CCUACGGGUGGCAGCAGUGAGGAAUAUUGGUCAAUGGACGAGAGUCUGAACCAGCCAAGUAGCGUGAAGGAUGACUGCCCUAUGGGUUGUAAACUUCUUUUAUAUGGGAAUAAAAUGUUCCACGUGUGGGAUUUUGUAUGUACCAUAUGAAUAAGGAUCGGCUAACUCCGUGCCAGCAGCCGCGGUAAUACGGAGGAUCCGAGCGUUAUCCGGAUUUAUUGGGUUUAAAGGGGGCGUAGGUGGAUUGUUAAGUCAGUUGUGAAAGUUUGCGGCUCAACCGUAAAAUUGCAGUUGAAACUGGCAGUCUUGAGUACAGUAGAGGUGUGCGGAAUGCGUGGUGUAGCGGUGAAAUGCUUAGAUAUCACGAAGAACUCCGAUUGCGAAGGCAGUUCACUGGACUGCAACUGACACUGAGGCUCGAAAGUGUGGGUAUCAAACAGGAUUAGAUACCCGGGUAGUC
rnacentral:rRNA from 1 species